AACGAACGCUGGCGGCAGGCUUAACACAUGCAAGUCGAACGCGCCCUUCGGGGCGAGUGGCAGACGGGUGAGUAACGCGUGGGAACCUACCUUUUGGUACGGAAUAACUCAGGGAAACUUGAGCUAAUACCGUAUGUGCCCUUCGGGGGAAAGAUUUAUCGCCAAAGGAUGGGCCCGCGUCGGAUUAGCUAGUUGGUAGGGUAACGGCCUACCAAGGCGACGAUCCGUAGCUGGUCUGAGAGGAUGAUCAGCCACACUGGGACUGAGACACGGCCCAGACUCCUACGGGAGGCAGCAGUGGGGAAUAUUGGACAAUGGGGGCAACCCUGAUCCAGCCAUGCCGCGUGAGUGAUGAAGGCCUUAGGGUUGUAAAGCUCUUUCGCCGGUGAAGAUAAUGACGGUAACCGGAGAAGAAGCCCCGGCUAACUUCGUGCCAGCCGCCGCCGUAA
rnacentral:rRNA from 1 species